CAGAGGUCACUGCUAKCAAGUGUUCGACUAAGCCAUGCGAGUCAAAUGUUCUUCGUGAACAUGGCGUACUGCUCAGUAACACGUGGACAACCUGCCCUAAGGUCUGGCAUAACUCCGGGAAACUGGGGAUAAUUCCAGAUGAACCAUAGAUACUGGAAUGUGCUGUGGUUAAAAGCUCCGGCGCCUUAGGAUGGAUCUGCGGCCUAUCAGGUAGUAGUGGGUGUAAUGUACCUACUAGCCUACGACGGGUACGGGUUGUGAGAGCAAGAGCCCGGAGAUGGAUUCUGAGACAUGAAUCCAGGCCCUACGGGGCGCAGCAGGCGCGAAAACUUUACAAUGCGGGAAACCGCGAUAAGGGGACACUGAGUGCCAGCACCAUGUGCUGGCUGUCCGCAUGUAUAAAUCACAUGUGUCAGCAAGGGCCGGGCAAGACCGGUGCCAGCCGCCGCGGUAACACCGGCGGCCCGAGUGGUGGCCAUUAUUAUUGGGUCUAAAGGGUCCGUAGCCGGUUUGAUCAGUCUUCCGGGAAAUCUGACAGCUCAACUGUUAGGCUUCUGGGGGAUACUGUCAGACUUGGAACCGGGAGAGGUAAGAGGUACUACAGGGGUAGGAGUGAAAUCUUGUAAUCCUUGUGGGACCACCAGUGGCGAAGGCGUCUUACCAGAACGGGUUCGACGGUGAGGGACGAAAGCUGGSGGCACGAACCGGAUUAGAUACCCGGGUAGUCCCAGCCGUAAACGAUGCUCGCUAGGUGUCUGGGAUGGUGCGACCGUUUCASGUGCCGCAGGGAAGCCGUGAAGCGAGCCACCUGGGAAGUACGGCCGCAAGGCUGAAACUUAAAGGAAUUGGCGGGGGGAGCACUACAWCCGGGYGGAGCCUGCGGUUUAAUUG
rnacentral:rRNA from 1 species